ACGGCCAUACCAUGCUGAAUAUACCGGUUCUCGUUAGAUCACCGAAGUCAAGCAUCAUUGGGCGCGGUCAGUACUUGGGUGGGGGACCACCUGGGAACACCGCGUG
rnacentral:rRNA from 1 species